rnacentral:rRNA from 1 species
CCUACGGGAGGCAGCAGUCGAGAAUCAUUCACAAUGGGGGAAACCCUGAUGGUGCGACGCCGCGUGGGGGAAUGAAGGUCUUCGGCUUGUAAACCCCUGUCAUGUGGGAGCAAACUAAAAAGAUAGUACCACAAGAGGAAGAUACGGCUAACUCUGUGCCAGCAGCCGCGGUACUACAGAGGUCUCAAGCGUUGUUAGGAAUCACUGGGCGUACAGCGUGCGUAUGCUGUUUCGUAAGUCGUGUGUGAAAGGCGCGGGCUCAAGCCGCGGAGGGCACAGGAAACUGAGGGACGAGAGUAAAGGAGGGGGAACCGGAAUGCUAGGGGUAGCAGGGAAAUGCGUAGAUAUAGAGAGGAACACUCGUGGCGAAGGCGGGUGCCUGGACAUUAACUGACGCUGAGGCACGAAGGCCAGGGGAGCGAAAGGGAUUAGAUACCCGAGUAGUC